GGGCGGCUAGCUCAGCGGGUCAGAGCGCCUGGUUUACACCCAGGAGGUCGGGGGUUCGAACCCCUCGCCGCCCACCA
rnacentral:tRNA from 1 species